rnacentral:rRNA from 1 species
UCCUACGGGAGGCAGCAGUGGGGAAUAUUGCACAAUGGGCGCAAGCCUGAUGCAGCCAUGCCGCGUGUGUGAAGAAGGCCUUCGGGUUGUAAAGCACUUUCAGUCGUGAGGAAGGUGGUGUAGUUAAUAGCUGCAUUAUUUGACGUUAGCGACAGAAGAAGCACCGGCUAACUCCGUGCCAGCAGCCGCGGUAAUACGGAGGGUGCGAGCGUUAAUCGGAAUUACUGGGCGUAAAGCGCAUGCAGGUGGUUUGUUAAGUCAGAUGUGAAAGCCCGGGGCUCAACCUCGGAAUAGCAUUUGAAACUGGCAGACUAGAGUACUGUAGAGGGGGGUAGAAUUUCAGGUGUAGCGGUGAAAUGCGUAGAGAUCUGAAGGAAUACCGGUGGCGAAGGCGGCCCCCUGGACAGAUACUGACACUCAGAUGCGAAAGCGUGGGGAGCAAACAGGAUUAGAUACCCUGGUAGUCCACGCCGUAAACGAUGUCUACUUGGAGGUUGUGGCCUUGAGCCGUGGCUUUCGGAGCUAACGCGUUAAGUAGACCGCCUGGGGAGUACGGUCGCAAGAUUAAAACUCAAAUGAAUUGACGGA